UGGGGAAUAUUGCGCAAUGGGCGAAAGCCUGACGCAGCGACGCCGCGUGAGGGAUGAAGGUUUUCGGAUCGUAAACCUCUGUCAGAAGGGAAGAAACCGCACUGUGCUAAUCAGCAGUGCCUUGACGGUACCUUCAAAGGAAGCACCGGCUAACUCCGUGCCAGCAGCCGCGGUAAUACGGAGGGUGCAAGCGUUAAUAGGAAUUACUGGGCGUAAAGCGCACGUAGGCUGCUUUGUAAGUCAGGGGUGAAAUCCCACGGCUCAACCGUGGAACUGCCUUGGAUACUGCUUAGCUUGAAUCCGGGAGAGGGUGGCGGAAUUCCAGGUGUAGGAGUGAAAUCCGUAGAUAUCUGGAGGAACAUCAGUGGCGAAGGCGGCCACCUGGACCGGUAUUGACGCUGAGGUGCGAAAGCGUGGGGAGCAAACAGG
rnacentral:rRNA from 1 species